rnacentral:rRNA from 1 species
AUUGAACGCUGGCGGCGUGCUUAACACAUGCAAGUCGAGCGGCAGCGGGCCCGCAAGGGUGCCGGCGAGCGGCGGACGGGUGAGCAAUACAUAGGAAUCUGCCUCAGAGCGGGGGAUAGCCAGGGGAAACCCUGAUUAAUACCGCAUGACGUCGAGAGACCAAAGUGGGGGACCGUAAGGCCCCACACUCUGAGAUGAGCCUAUGUCGGAUUAGCUAGUGGCGGGGUAACGGCCCACCAAGGCGACGAUCCGUAGCUGGUCUGAGAGGACGAUCAGCCACACCGGAACUGAGACACGGUCCGGACUCCUACGGGAGGCAGCAGUGGGGAAUAUUGGACAAUGGGCGAAAGCCUGAUCCAGCGACGCCGCGUGGGUGAAGAAGGCCU